CACAAGCGGUGGAGCAUGUGGUUAAUUCGAAGCAACGCGAAGAACCUUACCAGGUCUUGACAUCCCUGACAACCAAGAGAUUUGGGGUCCGUUCCCCGUUCGGGGGGACAGGGUGACAGGUUGGUGCAUGGGUUGUCGUCAGCUCGUGUCGUGAGAUGUUGGGUUAAGUCCCGCAACGAGCGCAACCCUCGCCUCUAGUUGCCAGCAUUCGGUUGGGCACUCUAGAGGGGACUGCCGGCGACAAGUCGGAGGAAGGUGGGAUGACGUCAAAUCAUCAUGCCCCUUAUGACCUGGGCUACACACGUGCUACAAUGGGCGGUACAAAGGGCUGCGAACCCGCGAGGGGGAGCGAAUCCCAAAAAGCCGCUCUCAGUUCGGAUUGCAGGCUGCAACUCGCCUGCAUGAAGCCGGAAUCGCUAGUAAUCGCGGAUCAGCAUGCCGCGGUGAAUACGUUCCCGGGCCUU
rnacentral:rRNA from 1 species